GAAGACGGACGUGCGCUCUGCGCACUCGCUCAGUUUCUGGUUGGCUCUCGUAGAGAGCAGACGUGUGUUCUCCGCGCUCGCUCAGUUUCUGCCUGGAAGUUGCCGCGGGGGAAAAGAGCCAUGGAGGAAGGAAACACAGGAGCGGCCCUUCGAACUUUUUGCCAUUGGGACGGGCGUGCCCGGCGUGCCAGCUUCGCACUGCAUUCUGGGAUGCUCCUGUCUACCAUGUGACCGCUCACGUGACCCCAAGAGCAUGCGCAGGCCAGCUGCCAAAGCAGACGACAGGAGUCGUGAUUGCCUUGCAGUUGAGGUAUCUGCAUUGUGAUGAACGCCGCGCGUCCAGCUUUAUUUGUGUGUGUUCGGAGGUUUACUCUCGGUUUACCCUUCUACUACAAGACCGGUCAGGGUCUGCAGGACAACCACGCAGGACUAGAAACAUCAUUCGCGGCAGCGAUGUUUGUGUGACGACGUGGCCGCGUUUUGUGUGUUUAUUGCUGAAGUGCCACAAAGUGAAGCAUGCCAGUAAUCAAAUUUGUACAACGGUGGAGGAAAUCAAUUGACUCUGCAGCUGUAUCACAGCGCCAGCUUGGAAAGGAACGAUUCAAGAUGACUCUCUCACGGACAGGGGUACGAAACAACCGGUCAAGUACGUGCUUACGAAGGAAACGUUAUUCCCGUGACAGAGCUGCUUUCUGUUGAACGACAGCCGCAACCGCGGUAAGAACACGUUAACAAAACGUUGUUUCCGCAGUGGUGCUCACAUUUUAAGAGUAAGUGACUUUGGAAAAACAUAAAAGCACGAAAAGCAGCGCUAGCAACAAAGCGUUUCCAAACCGAAACUUUAGAGAGGAUCACGUGGUGGACAGGAAGUAAUGGCGGUUUUGACAGGAGUGACCGCCAGAGGGGUCCCACGGAAAUCUGCUCGAAACGGCCGCUCCUGUGUUUCCUAACUCCAUGUCUAGAGCUAUGAUGGUGGCGCCAUCUGGUGUGAUGCCUUGCAACUAAGUGGCCACCUGUCGUCGAUCUCUGCAACUACCAGUCGUCAACAAGCAACAUGGCGGGCGCUGGUCACUCGGGUGUUGCGGAGCGGGUUCUUCGCCGCGGCAUCGUUGAUUUUCGAAUAAAUUGUUUCUCUCCACUCUA